rnacentral:tRNA from 1 species
GAGCGCGUAACUUAAUGGGCAGAGUACCCGGCUUUUAACCGGGAUUGUGCAGGUUCGAUGCCUGCUGCGCUCACAA